UGAGGAUAGUAAGCUCUUGAGGGCAAAU
rnacentral:piRNA from 1 species